rnacentral:rRNA from 1 species
UAAGGAAUAUUGGACAAUGGUCGCAAGACUGAUACAGCCACGCCGCGUGCAGGAAGACGGCCCUAUGGGUUGUAAACUGCUUUUGUACCAGAGAAAACCUAUCUACGUGUAGAUAGCUGAUAGUAUGGUAAGAAUAAGCAUCGGCUAACUUCGUGCCAGCAGCCGCGGUAAGACGAAGGAUGCAAGCGUUAUCCGGAUUCAUUGGGUUUAAAGGGUGCGUAGGCGGACUUGUAAGUCAGUGGUGAAAUCUCUCAGCUUAACUGAGAAACUGCCAUUGAUACUGCAGGCCUAGAGUAUAGAUGACGUUGGCGGAAUAUGACAUGUAGUGGCGAAAUACUUAGAUAUGUCAUAGAACACCGAUUGCGAAGGCAGCUAACGAAACUAUAACUGACGCUGAGGCACGAAAGUGCGGGGAUCAAACA